UUUUCAAAUAAGCACCACAGAAGAGCGGUAUGCCAGUGUUCAUCUGCACAAACCUUCCCACGCUUCAAUUUUAAAAUAAUAACUGUGUCUUGUUAUGGAAGGACAUGGACAGUGCUGGGAGGAAGGAUGUGACUGUGGUUAAAAAAAAUGGACACAUUGCUGACGGAGUCAAAGGACAAGGAAGUGCAUUCUUCC
rnacentral:lncRNA from 12 species